AAAGGGUGCGUAGGCGGAUUCUUAAGUCAGGGGUGAAAUCCCGAGGCUCAACCUCGGAACUGCCUUUGAUACUGGGGAUCUUGAGUCCGGAAGAGGUGAGUGGAACUGCGAGUGUAGAGGUGAAAUUCGUAGAUAUUCGCAAGAACACCAGUGGCGAAGGCGGCUCACUGGUCCGGAACUGACGCUGAGGCACGACAGCGUGGGGAGCAAACAGGAUUAGAUACCCCUGU
rnacentral:rRNA from 1 species